rnacentral:rRNA from 1 species
UACGAAGGGGGGCGAGCGUUGUUCGGAAUUACUGGGCGUAAAGGGCGCGCAGGCGGCUCUGAAAGUCAGAUGUGAAAGCCCCGGGCUUAACCUGGGAAUUGCAUUUGAUACUCUGGAGCUUGAGUACGGGAGAGGAGAGUGGAAUUCCCAGUGUAGAGGUGAAAUGCAUUGAGAUCGGAAAGAACACCAACGGCGAAAGCACUCUGCUAGGCCGACACUGACACUGAGAGACGAAAGCUAGGGGAGCAAAUGGG